GGUUCUGACUCAGCCACUUUGCAGUAUCUGCUGCAAAAAGGUGUUUUCAUAAUUUAAAAAAUCAGAGUUAUUGAAAAUUUAAAGCAAGCAAGUUAUUUCUUUUUUUCUUUGGCUAUUUUAAAUGCUCCCUCUGGCUACCCUUCUACCCACUUAGGCUAUAACAGCCAGGAAGUUCACCUUGACCAGCCCAAGGGGAUGAGGAAGAAUGAAGAAACCUGAGAGGUGGCUGCAGCCUCUGAGGUGCGGGAGUGGAGAGCCAGGCAUGGUGCCACAGGACUGGAAAUCAGGCUGCUUGCUCAGUCAACCUCAUCUAGGUCUCUCUGGUCUGCGGUUCUGGCCAUGAAAGCUGAUCAACAGAGACUUUUGCAAUUUCAAUACUUCUGGCUCUGCUGUUAUUCUUUAGACUGUGCAGAACUGACCCUUGUAUUACAUUUGGGUGCUUUUUUGUGUCAGCAGCCCUUUCCAAAUAAACAACAUGGCCGUAGCCUACCAAGGGAAUGGACUGGAUUGUCCGGGUUUAGUUCCUGGCUGUGCAGCUAACAAUUCUAGGUGUUGGGUACUAGUAGAAGAAACUAUCAGAGAGGUUAAGUGACUUAUCCAAGGUCACCGAACAAGUGAGCAACGGAGUGACAGAGAGACUCCAGCUGGUCACAAAAAAUCCCUGGACUGCGCAUGUCCCAGCGUGGAAUGCAAGCCAGGUCUUCUUAACUUUACACAUGAGUCCGGAUUGUCGACCCUUUUUUUUGGAGGUGACUGCUGCCCUGACAUCUUCUGCUACAGGAGAGGUGAUGAAGGAUGAGUGAGCAUCACAGACCGAGCUUACUGCCUAGGUUGAAACUUCAGCUUUGCCACUUCUAAGCUGUGUGUCUUUGGACAAGACUUUCAGCUUCGUAUGUUCUUCCAAAGGCAGUCAGUACAAGGCUCUCCAACCAAAACCUCUACUGAUCUGGGUCUAGAAGGCAGCCAUGGAUCUCAGUUGGGUUUAGUUCUGCCAAUGAAAUGCACUUUCAUACUAUUGAGAAGACAGAAGGAGGUGGAGACUGUUUUCCAAUAGCUGUGACAAUGGACAAAUAGUUGUCAACAAAAGCGAGUAGCUGUGGCCAGACUCCACCUCCACAUCCUGGUCACCACUGUCUGUAACCCAGGUGACAGAAGCUGCAGCUUUUCUGACCUCUAUCCCACCUCCACAUCCUGGUCACCACUGUCUGAAACCCAGGUGACAGUAGCUGAGGCUUUCUGACCUCUGCAGCCUGCAGCUACAGUGAUUGAUCUUGAAAACAAAAGACUAGGAGGCUGAUUUCUACUCCUCCUUCUCUUCCAAAAAUUUGUAAGUACUUAAUAUCCUGGAUUAAGCCAAUCUCUUGCUGCUUGAAAUCUCUGUAAUGAUUUUCUUUUUCCUAUGCUGGACCUGAUAUUGCACCCCAAGCUGGAUGCCAAUCAGUGACUCCCUUUCUACACCUACACAACCACACAUAAUAUGACCAGAGGAAAAAUGCUCUUCACCUAGAGAGCAAACAAAGGGGAUACCAUGGAACAAACUGGAUUGCUAUGUGCUUUAAUGACUCUCCUGGGGAAACUAGUGACAAUGGGCCAAAUGGGGAAUUGCUUCUUAAAGCAGGUGUGUAUGUAGCCUUGUCUUAAUGCAUAGAUUGUAAUAUUCAGUCUUUACUAUUAUGAUACCUGGUCCCAGAACAGACCUAUCUUCUACCUUUUUGGUCCAACAUCCUAAUGUCCUAGAGAGAAAAUGCAUGAAAUUCCACCAGCAUACUUGUUAGCACACUGUGUAAACAAGAUGCCCCUCUAACAAGGCAGAUGCACAAGAGUCCGUGACCAUUGGCAAUUAGGCAGAUGUCAGACAAAGUUAGAGGCACUAAAAGUAGAGUAAACAAAAGAAGAACACUUUAUGGGCACCAUGAAUCCCUCCCACCCGAGGAAUGUAAAAAAGGAGCAGACAUUUGGAGAUCAAGAGUCCCUGGGAUUUGUAGCCAUCAAGACCAAAAAUACUCAUUUCAAACAAAGAUGCCAUUUUACAGAAAAGGAAAGAAAGGAAGCUUCAAAGAGUUCUUAGCCCUGCAAAUUCAAGCACAAAAGGGGUCUUCAAAGACAGCCUGCCCACAGCGUGGAACCUAGGGCCCAGAAGAUGCUAUGAAAUACAUCUUGAAUGGAACACGAAGGAAGAAGGGGUUAAGAUAUUCAGGCACCUUCAUUUUUAAUAAGAAUUGUUGCAGUAUCCAGUUUCUACUUCAGAAGGCUGUUUCCAUGUUCCAAGCAACAGCUGGUCCCACUUUACUGCUGUGGGUACAAUGCGUCCUAGUAAAUCCUGUGUAAUAGAUGUAUUCAUAUGCUCUGUCCUUUUAAUAAUCUUCUUAAUUAGGGUGCUAUCCUUUUAAGCAAAGCAUUUAUAUAGUUACUUUAUUGCAUUUGAAUACAGUAUUAGCUUCAAUAGACUUAAUAUAAUUUUAUGGGUUUUAAAAAAUAUUGCUUUACAAUGAGAGGAAUUUAUUUUAUCAUCAGUGUGGAGUUACUCCCAUGGCUAUUUAAGAGCCAUUGGUACAGAAGUUUAUAAAUUGCUGUUGAGAAGGAACUCUCCUAAAGAUGGAGCAGAUAGUGAUGGCUCUGCCACUUAUUAGCUUAACUUCUGAGAACCUCAACUUUCUUAUCUAUAAAAUGAGUUCAGUAUCUUCCUUGCCUACCUUCUGGAGCAAUUGUGAACAUCAAAUAAAAUACAGUAGAUCCUCUGUAAAUUGACCACCCAAGGGACUGUAAAAAGCUGGUCAACACACACCUAUGGAGCACAUUGCAAGUACAAGUUGGAUCUAUCGGGUGUAGAACACAAAUGUCUAAAUGCUGUAAUUGGGUAAAUGAGGUGAAAGCUAUGUUGAUUAGUAGCAUGUAAGCACUCCAAUUUGUACAAAGAAUCAACACAUUGAAUCCCAUA